rnacentral:snRNA from 1 species
AUACUUGCCUGGCAGGGGAGAUACCAUGACCAGGAAGGUAGUUUUCCCAGGGUGAGGCUCAUCCAUUGCACUCCAGAUGUGCUGACCCCUGUGAUUUUCCCAAAUGUGGGAAACUCAACUGCAUAAUUCAUGGUAGUGGGGUACUGCGCUUGCAUAUUCCCCUG